AGAAAGGGUCAAAACCCUAAAGAGCGCUGCCUGCUCUUUCUAUGUCAUUUUGCCAAGAACGGCAUCAGCAUACUGUACAUCUUUGCUUUCUCAGUGUUGUCGAUCCAUUUCAGGCAAGAGCAAUUAAUGCUCUUUCCUUCUUUCACCUAAUGCCACCGUUUAACAAACUCAAAGAUGUGGAGGGGAAGGAAGAGCUUUCAAACUCCAUUCUCGACAAGGUUGCCACUACAAAAGGUAAAAUUCUAUCCUUUCAUAGUUUGUUUGUCUAUUUACUUAGUUGUUUUAGUUUGUUUAGCUGUUUUUUUUUUUUUUUUUUUUUUUUUGCAAGUAUAGUUACUUGCUCAAGUGUUUUGCAUAUUCAAUUAGGUAACUGUAUGUUUAUUUGGUUGUUAGUGGUAGAUUAGUUUAUGUAAUGGUUUAAACUUUAAUAUGUUAAUCCUCCUAGGUUGGUUAGUUUGAGCAUGCUUAGUUAGUAUAUCAAGUGGUUAUUCAUAUUGUAUGUUGUUUAGUUUGGAUCUUCAUGUUAAUUAACUAACUUAAUCCUGUCUGAGAUUGGCAUAUGUUUUGUUUGAAACCAAAUCUGAUCCCAUAUACUCAUACAUGGUGGAAAAUUCUGAACUUUAAAUUAUGAAGCUCUUGUAUUGUUCUAUGUGUUGUGGAAUUGAUUCCACCAAGGUUAAUAUGUCUCUUGCAUGAGCAGUCUCAGUAUUAGUGCUUUCUAACAUAGUCCUUGUUUCUGCCUAGUUGUUAUUUAAGUUCAGUCUAGCAAACGCUCUUGUUCUUUGAAGUGCCCUAUGUGUUUGUAUGAUUAAUUUGUUGGACCAAUGUAGUCUAGUGACAGUUAUUAACCACACCAUGUUUUAAAUGUGCUCUUGUUUCUAACAAGCUUGGUCUUCAUGAAAGCUAGGCAUGUAAGAAUGUUUAUCAAUAAAGUAAUCCCUACUGAACCAUGAGCCUGUCAUCUGCGUUAUCAUGUGUCUUCACAUAUGUACUUGUUCAAUAUAGCUUUAUUCAUGUUAGAUUUUAGUGUUUGUCUAGAAUAGCUCAAGCAUCAUUGGAUAUCUAUUAGUUAUUGUAUAGGAUAGUGUUUAUGCUUCUCAUAAACUAGUCAUUUUGGUUUAGUUUAAUUUCUCAGCAUGAAACUUGAUUGUGUCCUGUUCAAUAAGUCUAUGCAAGCUUUAGUUAGUCAUCAGUCUUAGGUUUUGUAAAUAGGGGAACUAGUUUGCCUCCUUAUUAAAUGUGAAUCAAUAUGCUUUGCUUGGUCUGCUAUGGUAUAGAUAUGAGGCAACCUGAUAAUAAUCUUAAUGUGUGUGAAGGUGAUGAACCAUAAGCUUGUAGUUUAAACAUUUGACUAUACUAAAUGGCUAAAUAUAUACUUCUUUGAUAUGAUUAAGUUGUUGAGUGUUUGCUCAAACAUGUGCAUAGACUGAAUGAGUAUGCUAAAUCUGUGUGAUUUGAACUCUUGUUUAUGUGUUGGAUGUUCAAUUAUAAAUGAGUGUAUGAUUCAUGGUCACAAAGCAUGUUCAAAGCAAGCAUAUGCUAGUUGUUUAGAAUGGACUAUGUUUCAGUAAUUAUAAAAUAAUACAGGCUUAUGUGGUUUAUAAGAUGUUCUUAACUUGGAAUAAUGGAGCAUAUAGCUAUUAUGUUUAAGUAUCCAUAAAUCCACUUCAUAUUUGUAAACAUCAUAUGACUAAUGGUUGUUUUGAGAGAGUUAUUAAGGCUGUACCUGGAUUUGAAUUCAAACAACAUGUUCAUGUUUUCUUCUAUUUUUUUUAUGAUAAUAUAUGGGUCUGCAUAAUGAUUAGAAACA